UACGUAGGGGGCAAGCGUUGUCCGGAAUCAUUGGGCGUAAAGAGCGUGUAGGCGGCCCGGUAAGUCCGCUGUGAAAGUCCAGGGCUCAACCCUGGAAUGCCGGUGGAAACUGUCGGGCUAGAGUCCGGAAGAGGCGAGUGGAAUUCCUGGUGUAGCGGUGAAAUGCGCAGAUAUCGGGAAGAACACCCGUGGCGAAGGCGGCUGCUCUGGGACGGUACUGACGCUGAGACGCGAAAGCG
rnacentral:rRNA from 1 species